rnacentral:misc_RNA from 1 species
CUCUCUCUCUCACACACACACACUCUCUCUCAGUGACUCCAUUGCUGCCUUCCUAGCUCCUUAAAACAACCAUUUCAUCACCCAUGGAGGAACCCUCUUUCUGACAUGGGCGUCGUUGACAUGUCUAACCCACCCACUUCUCAUACCAAAGACUUCUUCGCCUCUCCUGCUCUCUCUCUCAGUCUUGCUGGAAUAUUCCGCAGCGCCAAUGCAGACGGGGCGGCGGAGGCUUCAGAGAUGGAGGUCGAGGAAGGGGAAGAGGGGAGUGGAGGAGAAAGAGGAAGAAGAGAAGGUACUGUUGAGAUUAGCAGCGAGAACUCAGGGCCCAUGAGAUCAAGAUCAGAUGAUGAGUUUGAAGGAGAAGGAGAACAUGAUGAUGAUGAUGAUGCUGUUGCAGGUGAUGACAAGAACAAGAAGAAGAAGAGAAAGAAAUAUCACAGACACACCGCCGAGCAAAUCAGAGAAAUGGAAGCUUUAUUUAAAGAGUCCCCACAUCCUGAUGAGAAACAAAGACAACAAUUAAGCAAGCAAUUAGGACUUGCCCCUAGACAAGUCAAGUUUUGGUUCCAAAAUCGCAGGACUCAAAUUAAGGCUAUACAAGAGAGGCAUGAGAACUCCUUAUUGAAAACAGAAAUGGAGAAGCUGCGAGAGGAAAAUAAGGCCAUGAGAGAGACCAUUAAUAAAGCUUGCUGCCCCAACUGUGGCAUGGCUACUACCAGCAGAGACUCUUCCUUAACAACUGAGGAACAGCAAUUACGUAUUGAGAAUGCCAAACUCAAAGCUGAGGUAGAAAAACUUCGAGCAGCUCUAGGAAAUUCUCCUUCAGGUGCAGCACCCUCUUGCUCGGCAGGAAAUGAGCAAGAGAACAGAAGUUCAUUAGAUUUUUACACUGGAAUUUUUGGGCUGGAGAAAUCGAGAAUUAUGGAGAUUGUUAAUCAAGCAAUGGAAGAGCUGAUGAAAAUGGCUACUGCAGGGGAGCCACUUUGGAUUAGAAGCGUUGAGACAGGUCGUGAAAUUCUUAACUACGAUGAGUACAUGAAGGAGUUUGGAGUUGAAAAUCCAAGCAGUGGGAGACCAAAAAGGUCUAUUGAAGCAUCCAGAGAGACUGGAGUUGCUUUCGUGGAUCUUCCAAGACUAGUUCAGAUUUUCAAUGAUGCGAAUCAAUGGAAAGAGAUGUUUCCUUGCUUGAUCUCAAAGGCAGCUACAGUUGAUGUCAUCUCCAAUGGAGAAGGUCCUAAUAAAAAUGGAGCAGUACAGUUGAUGUUUGCAGAGGUGCAAAUGCUCACACCUAUGGUGCCCACCAGGGAAAUAUAUUUUGUCCGAUAUUGCAAGCAACUUAGUGCAGAGAAAUGGGCAAUUGUUGAUGUUUCUAUUGACAAAGUAGAAGAUAAUAUUGAUGCCUCACUUGUCAAAUGCAGAAAACGCCCCUCUGGCUGCAUAAUUGAGGACAAAUCAAAUGGUCAUUGCAAGGUGACAUGGGUAGAGCACUUGGAAUGCCAGAAAAGCCCAGUUCAUUCUAUGUACAGAACCAUUGUGAAUAGUGGUCUAGCUUUUGGUGCAAGGCAUUGGACAGCAACGUUGCAGCUCCAGUGUGAACGGAUUGUUUUCUACAUGGCAACCAAUGUUCCAACAAAGGAUUCUACUGGUGUUACAACCCUGGCUGGGAGGAAAAGCAUUCUGAAACUGGCACAUAGAAUGACGCGGAGCUUUUGCCGUGCCAUUGGAGCAUCAAGCUACCAUACAUGGAACAAAGUCACAAGCAAAACAGGAGAUGACAUAAGGCUUUCCUCCAGGAAGAACUUAAAUGACCCCAGUGAACCCAUUGGAGUGAUCUUGUGUGUAGUUUCUUCUGCAUGGUUGCCAGUGUCUCCUCCUGUCCUCUUCGAUUUCUUGCGAGAUGAAACACAUAGAAAUGAGGUAUAUAUGAAUUCUGCAGCUAAAUUAUACAACAAAGCAGAAUUUCUGAUCCUGAUGAUGUUUUUCUCCUUAAAUUUUAGUGGGAUAUCAUAUCAAAUGGAAGUCCAGUACAAUCCAUUGCAAACUUAGCCAAAGGACAAGAUAGAGGCAAUGCAGUAACUAUACAAACAAUGAAAUCAAAAGAGAAUCCUAUGUGGGUACUCCAAGAUUGCUGCACAAAUGCUUAUGAAUCCUUGGUAGUCUAUGCUCCUGUGGAUAUUAAUGGAAUGCAAUCUGUGAUUACUGGAUGUGAUUCAAGCAACGUAGCAGUAUUACCUUCAGGAUUUUCAAUUCUUCCUGAUGGACUCGAAUCAAGGCCCUUAGUGAUCACUUCUAGGCAAGAGGAGAAGGGCACAGAAGGAGGAUCUCUGUUGACAAUGGCUGUCCAAAUCAUAACUAGUACCUCCCCCACAGCCAAACUAACCACGGAAUCUGUGGAGUCUGUUAACACACUUAUAUCCUGCACAUUGCAAAAUAUUAGGACAAGCUUGCAAUGUGAAGAUAGUUGAUCACCCUUAGCUUUGUUAGUUAGGCAGACAACUGUUUAAUUGUAAAAUUUACACGUUACUAGGUUGGUUUUAUUUUCUUAUUUAUUUAUUUUAUUUUUUUCCCCUCCAGAUUUUACAAUUUUUUUUAUAGAGGGAUGCUUUUAUAUGGGUUUGCCUUAUUGCUUGUGGUUGGAGUGAAGGGCUUGGAGAUAUAUGCAUUUCCCUAGUUUUGCAUUCUGGAGGAUUUGGAAGAGUGAAAUAUUCUCAUGUAUAGAAAGAAUAUUUAUCAGUGCCAUUUUGUGGUUGUUUCAGUUGCUAUUUCACUAUCUGAAAAAUGCCUAAAGCAGGCACAGUAAAUCAAAAAGAAUGGUUUGAAAGUGA